CCGGUGUUGUCACACGUCGAUUAACUGGUGGAAAAAUUCACAUCCACAGUCACUUCCCUAGUUGGCACCCCACCCAGGGUGUAGGAUAAGCGGCAUGGAAAAUGGAUGGAUGGAUGGAUGGUUGGGAAAUGUCAGACCAAUCUCUAAUUUCUCAGUGAAGUGUGCCCUUAACAAAAAAACUCAGAAGAAAGGACUUGUGUGCAGAGGGCUGCUAUUGCUGUACUUCGUUGGCGACUCAGAAAGUGGAGUGAAUUAUUGGCAGAGAUUAACUAAAAUUGCACUGGCCAAAUGAAUGUGACUGAUGAUCCACUCAUCACUCAACAAAAACAUUCCUGCUAUACUAAAAAAUAAAAGCCCUGCACAAAUCUACAUGUGCUAAAUCUUCAAGUGAGGCAUCAUCUCAAUCCAUCUCGAUUUUGCAUUACAUUUUAUACAGUGUCACAUGUCUGCAACUUGUUUUGAGCACUGCAGUCAGCAGUUAAUCUAGCCAAUUAUCCUGAGAAUAAGUGUGAUGGGAGCUUUCAUAAUCAUGUGAUUCUACCACUAGGGGUUUCUGCAUAAGCACAGUCAGGGUAGUUUGCACAUCCUCACACACAAGACGAGCUUGAUGAAUCACAUUCUUUGAAUAGAAACGUGUUUGCACAAUUGAUAAAUAAGACCCCAGGGCAGUUUUAUAAAGAAAGAGUUUGCUGUUUGCUAUGAGUUUGCGACAAGCGUUGUUGCACAUGCAGGUUAGCUAGCAGUUAGUCGGGUUUUUUUUGGACAAGCAGUGUUCGUGUGCAAAAGACAAUGAGGCAUUCAGCAAUAGCGCUAUGUAUUAGUUUUGGCAUCCUUACCAUAGCCUGCAAUUCAACUCUUAGUUCACAGGCAGGAGGUCACACAUCUGUAACAAUUUAACAAUGCCACGUCAUGCUCAGGACACCCAAUUAAUUCAUCAAUUACUCAUGAAUUACUUGUCAAGCAAGACCUUCUGAUGGCAUUGGCUCAUCAGAAAAAGUAAUUAACCCCAGCGCUGUAUGACUCACAGAGUGGUCAUGAUUAAUUGAUUGAAAAAGAUUUCCCCCAUUUCGGUGAAAGAGCACUUUAUUAGAGAUGAAAAGAUGGAGUGAUAAGCCUGUAGAAGUGGCCUGAGGGGUGCAGCUGUAGAUUGCAGUGCUCGUGCUCAUGCAGAUGGAUAGCGAAGGAGCCGUGUGGUGAAACCGCAGAAUGGGGUGCUGUUCAAACCAGAGUGGAGGGGGAAGGGCAUGGCUGGCAAGUGCUGAACUUUCCAUUACCACGGAACAGCUUUGAUUCCAGAAGCGCAUGCUUUUUUGCUGUCCCAAACACUUUUUUUUGUUUGUUUUUACUCAAACUAAAACACUGCACAUAUCAUGUGUCCAUUAUUCAGGAACUGCUCAGAUUUAGGCUUAAAGAUGCAUACAUUAAUUGAUAGUAUGAAAUAAUUCACUCAUAUUUACACCUGCACACUUUAGAAUGGAUGUGCCUUGGACAAAGAAUCCCACAGUAACCACCCAAACAAGAUGAGUGAUUAAAUGAGAAUAAUGUUCCACGCAUGCUAGAAAAUUCUCCAGUGCCUGGUUUAUCAAGCUCACAGCAAUCCAUAUGUUUCCUGUAACAGCUAGCCAAAUCAGAUAAACUCUCUUUCAUUAAUGUCAUGUAUGCUUUUAGAACUGGUUGCAGUACUGCACACCAGCUAUCUAUCAAACAGAUAAAUAAAUAGAAGGGCUAAAAAAAAGGAGCAGUCAGACCUCAGCUGAGACAAAUUUGCAUUUGAGCAAUCUUGGGAGAGUGUUUUGUUUUUUGACUGUGUUGUGAAAACUCUCCAACUUUGCAUUUUCUUUCAUGUAAUUCUUUCUAUUGUGAUUUUACCACAAAACUAAAGAUGUAAUUCAGCGCUUGAACAUGUACCUUUGUCUGAAACGGCAUGGCGUAAGAACCAUUUGCAACCAAAAUGUAUUGUUUUCUGUAUAGAGAUAUUUUAUGAAACAGGAGUUAGAUAAUCAGUGGAAUGGCAAUGAAGUACGAGUAAGAUGAAAAAUGAUCAAAAGUGAAUGAUACAUGAUAGUGAUGGUGAUGUUAAUGAGUUGCAAGCUAAUGGCAGAACCAGCGUUCUAGUUACUACCUUGCCCAGGAUAAGAUCCUCAACCUGUGGAAGUAUGUGGACAGUCAGUAAGAUGUUGUAACUGUGAUCGCAGUCAAAAGUACAGAGAGCUUUUUCUCUGCAACAUUUGAAAGCUUCCACCUUUAUAUAAUGAUGUAGGGAAAGAUUGAGGGCAGAAGUUGGUUUGGCUUGUGCUUUAAAUAACGAUUCAUUAAUGAGGUCGAUGAUUUGCUUCAACAUACUGAAGCUCAACAUCCCCAAUUUCCAAAUGUAUUAUGCCCUGAUUUGCUCAUGUACUCCAUAUUUAUGUUUUGUUCCUAUGAGAAAAGAAGAAGAACGUCUAACUGACUUUUUUUUAUUAUUAUUAUAACAGCAGUUUACUUCCUGAAUUCAUUUUGCCAGCAAGACCUUUAAAGCAUCUGAUUAUUUGCCGUUCAUCCAAAAAUGACCACAGGUCAGACUUCCUAUACUUUGUACACACCAUUUGAUAUUUGUAUGCAUUGUAGGUGAAUUAGUUGUGCUUUGCUGUACUGGCUAAAUCUGUCAUUAAGAUUAUUGUGAGGCUACCCAAGAAGUAUUGUGUAGGGCGGCAACUAACAAAUCGGCCAGUCAGUUUUUCUUAAUCAAUCAAUUAAUCGGAUGAAAGAAACGCAAACUUUCUAUAGCAUUUUUAGUAAAUUUAAAAUAAAAUCCUCAAAUUAAAUGUUACAAAUAUGAACUCCAGACUAAAAUGUUAGAUCAACACAACAGUUUGUUCAAUU
ensembl:lncRNA